GCCUACGGGGCGCAGCAGUGGGGAAUAUUGCACAAUGGGGGGAACCCUGAUGCAGCGACGCCGCGUGGGUGAAGGAGCACCUCGGUGCGUAAAGCCCUAUCGGCAGGGAGGAAAAGCGAACAGGUUCGCCUUGACGGUACCUGCCUUAGAAACCCCGGCUAACUACGUGCCAGCAGCCGCGGGAAUACGUAGGGGGCAAGCGGUAUCCGGAUUCACUGGGUGGAAAGGGAGCGUAGACGG
rnacentral:rRNA from 1 species